rnacentral:rRNA from 1 species
UACAGAGGGUGCGAGCGUUAAUCGGAAUUACUGGGCGUAAAGCGUGCGUAGACGGUUAUGUAAGUCAGGUGUGAAAGCCCCGGGCUCAACCUGGGAAUUGGCAUUUGAGACUGCAUAGCUAGGGUGCGGAAGAGGGAAGCGGAAUUUCCGGUGUAGCGGUGAAAUGCGUAGAUAUCGGAAGGAACACCAGUGGCGAAAAGCGGCUUCCUGGUCCAGCACCGACGUUCAGGCACGAAAGCGUGGGGAGCAAACAGG